AAGACUUGCUUUGCCUGGAGACAUACAACAUGUCAGCCUGCUGCCGUGAGCUGUUUUGCUGUGCAUUGCUGGGGAUGUGUUCACUCUCACGCAAAUCAGCACAGACCAAGCUGCACUCACAGAACAAUUUUGUUUUCGUUCUCCUCCCCAUCCCACUGAGACAGGAAGGCGCAGCAUUACAGCCUGCUGCCAUGAAUUUAAAUUUCUACUGGACACCCAGGACUGCAAAGAAUGCAGAGUUUCACAUCACGUGUCCUUGGUUUUGGCUUCAAGUGCAACUUGCUAUUAAUUAAAGAUUCCUGUCAUGAUCCUUAACACAGGGCAAAAAAAAUAUUUUGUUGUAUACUCAGAAGUGAAUGGAUAGAAACAGUAAUAAAUAUAGUAAAUACAGAACAUACAGAAAAAAUAUUACUCUGCUCCCUCAGAAAGGAAACAAACAUACUUCCUUCUGUACUUAUAAGGGGGCAAUAAAGAAAAAAAUUGGCAUUUUAUUUACAAAUAUUUGUGCUUUCUGAGACCAUGGGUGAUUUGUAAAGUAUACAGCUUUCGUGAUGCCUAACACAGUCACACAAGUUUUUCAAUGUACUAACUUCUGUCAUAGAAAUAAGUCCCCAUUAUGUACAAUUUAUGCUGUUUUAAGCUAAUCUCAACCAAGUAACAGACUACAUUUAGAAUUAUUGAUCACAUUUUGGAGAAACAGAUGCAACUAAAUCUUUUGUUUCUAUAUAUAAUGAAAAGGCAGAAAAGGAGUAUUAUAUAGCCAUGGACAAUGUUGGUUAAAGGGAACAUCAGUGGUUUGGACAGAAGCUAAAUGUGAUUAAUAGACUAAGUUCUGCUUUUAGAGACAAUGACAAUCCUCUCAUCAGGAGAAUUUUAUUUUAUUGUAAGUAUAAGUUAAAUAUCCAAAACAAAGAUUUUUAGAAAUUUUGGUUUUCCAAGGUGUCCAUGCAAAUGGAAAAAAAAAUCAAAAGUAGCAUAAUUCUGCAGUUCUCUAACGCCCAAAUGCAAAAUUGCUACUCUGACAAUUUUUCUGCUCUAUCUACUAGCUAUAUCAGGUCAGAAACCUCAGGUUCUCUUUUUGACAAAGGCUUUGCUUAAACUAGCAUUUGCACAUACAUUUUGAUAUACCUUUAUCUCUAUGUCUGACUGAAAUAUUAUUACAGUUUUUAAGUCUGGGUAUGAGAUUCAAGUACAAGCAAGUUUAUCUUAUGUAUGCUGUUUUGGAUACAAGAGCAAAAAUAUAUAAAGUCUGGGUAAACAAUUUCUUUCUACAUUUGAGUGACGAAAAU